ACAUUGUGAUAUCAGAGUCUCCAUUCUUUUUCACAUACCCAUGGGUCCUCUCUGAGCCAAUAUCAUGAAGGAGGUUAUGAAAAUAACAACAUGACAGUCAGGAUGAUGACAGCUUGAGGGAGUUUGUGAAGUGGUCAAAUGAAAAAGAAUGGGAGACUCAAUAUCAUCUCUUGGACAGAAGUAAGCUGUUCCAAGACAUGGAAAGUCCUCAGAGGAGCAGACUGGAAAUGCAGUGAAAAAAUUAGAGAGGAAACCAGUGUGGACUCGAUGUGGUGAGCAGCUUCCUUUGCAUGUGCUUUUGCCAUGACAUCCUGUCUCACCACAGGCCAAAAAGCAACUGUCCAUGGACUGGAACCCCUGAGACUAUGAG
rnacentral:lncRNA from 1 species